rnacentral:rRNA from 1 species
GGCGGCGUGCUUACACAUGCAAGUCGAACGAACCUUCGGGUUAGUGGCGGACGGGUGAGUAACGCGUGAGAAUCUGCCCUCAGGAGGGGGACAACAGCUGGAAACGGCUGCUAAUACCCCAUAUGCCGCGAGGUGAAAUGAAUUUCGCCUGAGGAUGAGCUCGCGUCUGAUUAGCUAGUUGGUGUAGGUAAUGGCUCACCAAGGCAUCGAUCAGUAGCUGGUCUGAGAGGAUGAUCAGCCACACUGGGACUGAGACACAGCCCAGACUCCUACGGGAGGCAGCAGUGGGGAAUUUUCCGCAAUGGGCGAAAGCCUGACGGAGCAACGCCGCGUGAGGGAUGAAGGCCUCUGGGCUGUAAACCUCUUUUAUCAAGGAAGAAGAUCUGACGGUACUUGAUGAAUAAGCCACGGCUAAUUCCGUGCCAGCAGCCGCGGUAAUACGGGAGUGGCAAGCGUUAUCCGGAAUUAUUGGGCGUAAAGCGUCCGCAGGCGGCCCUUCAAGUCUGCUGUUAAAAAGUGGAGCUUAACUCCAUCAUGGCAGUGGAAACUGUUGGGCUUGA